GCCGGCAGGCAGGGGAGCCGGACAGGGAAGGAGCCGGAAGGAGCCCGGGAGAGCAGGGAGCCGGACGCGGGGAAGAGGCGGAGCCGAAAACGAGGGCAGGGCGGACGGGGGCCGAAGGAGAAGGAGCAGGGAGCCGGCAGCCGCGACGCACAAACCAGGGGAGGGAGGAGAGGGCAGGGAGCGGCAGCAGAGCGGCAAAGAGCGCAAAAGCACCACAGAGCCGGGGGGCAACCCCAGGGAGCCGGGGGAGGAGCCCCAGGGGCCGCCAGCAGCGCACGAGGAGCCGGGAGAGGGCACGGCGGGGGACCAGGACCCACGGCGGGGCGGACAACCGCAGCGGACGGGCGAGAGGAGGAGCCGACGGAGAAGGGGAGACGGACCAGACAGCCGGGCCGAAGGGGGCGAACGGGGGCACGGGAGCGAAGGGGGGACAGGGGCAGGGCACGAAGGGGGGAGAGGCGCCAGAAGGGCCAGACGCCAGGGGACAGACGAGCCGGGGGCGGGGCCCCAGGGAGCCGGGGGCGGGGCCCCAGGGAGCCGGGGGCGGGGCCCCAGGGAGCCGCGGGGAGCAGGCGCAGGGAGCCGGGGGGCAGGGCCCCAGGACGAAGGAGCGGGACAGGGGCGGAGGCCCAAGGGAGGGCCAGGGGCAGGGGGGAAGGGAAACAAGAAGGAGCCGGAAGCCGGAGGAGCAGAAAGGGGAGCGAGGGGGCGGAGGAAGGGGAGGAGCCGAACGGGGAGCCGCAGGGAGGAGCCGGGACGAGGGGAGGAGAGCGGAGCCGAACCAACCCGGAGACGGGGACAACCGAACCGAGGAGCCGGAACGAAAGACGGGGAAAGGGCAAGAGAGGAGAGGGGAGCAGGAGCAGAGCCGAAGGGAGGAAACAGGGGGCAACGCGGGGAGG
rnacentral:lncRNA from 1 species